UACCAGCACCCCGAGUGGUCGGGACGAUUAUUGGGCCUAAAGCAUCCGUAGCCGGUUCUACAAGUCUUCCGUUAAGUCCACCUGCUUAACAGAUGGGCUGCGGAGGAUACUAUAGAGCUAGGAGGCGGGAGAGGCAAGCGGUACUUAGUGGGUAGGGGUAAAAUCCGUUGAUCCAUUGAAGACCACCAGUGGCGAAGGCGGCUUGCCAGAACGCACUCGACGGUGAGGGAUGAAAGCUGGGGGAGCAAACCGG
rnacentral:rRNA from 1 species